UGACCAUAUUCAGCUCCAGCUAGCUCGCCAUGCAAAGCGACGAUGGCAGUUAUAGUUUGGACAAUGUGUUUGCUCGCCGCUACUACUAGUACUAUCUAUGUCUCGGCAGAAACAGGUUAUGCACACAUGGUAAGUGUCUGGCCUGCCAUGAGUUGUUUCCAAGAACUCACCAAACCCAUACUUUAUUCACCCUCCCAAUGGUCAAUGCCGCAUGUAAAAGUUUACUAACCAAACUGAAUUCUCGUUUCCC
rnacentral:lncRNA from 1 species